rnacentral:rRNA from 1 species
UCCAUAGGUUAAUGAGGCGAACCGGGGGAACUGAAACAUCUAAGUACCCCGAGGAAAAGAAAUCAACCGAGAUUCCCCCAGUAGCGGCGAGCGAACGGGGAGGAGCCCAGAGCCUGAAUCAGCAUGUGUGUUAGUGGAAGCGUCUGGAAAGGCGCGCGAUACAGGGUGACAGCCCCGUACACAAAAGCGCAUGUGCUGUGAGCUCGAUGAGUAGGGCGGGACACGUGGUAUCCUGUCUGAAUAUGGGGGGACCAUCCUCCAAGGCUAAAUACUCCUGACUGACCGAUAGUGAACCAGUACCGUGAGGGAAAGGCGAAAAGAACCCCGGCGAGGGGAGUGAAAAAGAACCUGAAACCGUGUACGUACAAGCAGUGGGAGCCCCACCACCAAA